rnacentral:lncRNA from 1 species
GGACACAAAUCCACAUUUCCUCAGACCAAUAACGAGUGUCUUUCAGCAAUGAUAUGAACAAAGUGAAAGCAUCUGUAACCUGAAGAAGAAGAUGGAUGGAGGAAAUAUCAACUUGAAGUGGAAACCCAAUAGGUGAAAUUGGAUUACACUAAGUUUAAGAACGUUAUUACUAUCAGAGAAAGUGAGGGAGAUGUAAAAGUAACCAUUGUUCAUUGCGCUGGUUAAGACGCCCUAGUGUAGACUGUAGAGGGAUCAGAAUCGUCAUUCUCCUCCGCUGGCUCAAGAGCGCUCCACUUGAGGAGACUUUACUCGACACUUUUCUCCUCUCAGUUUAAAACAAUCGGACUGCAAAGCCAAAAUUUCCGGCGACGGGGAUUAAAG